GAUGAAGAACGCAGCGAAAUGCGAUAAGUAAUGUGAAUUGCAGAAUUCAGUGAAUCAUCGAAUCUUUGAACGCACCUUGCGCCCUUUGGCCAUUCCGAAGGGCAUGCCUGUUUGAGUAUCAUGAACACCUCAACUCUUCAUGGAUUUCCAUGAUGAGCUUGGACUUUGGGGGUCUUGCCGGCCUGUGGUCGGCUCCUCUCAAAUGAAUCAGCUUCCCAGCGUUUGGUGGAGUCGCAGGUGUGAUAACUAUCUACGCUUGUGGUUUUUCGCCAGAUAACCUUUGGUGACGGAGGUUCGUUGGGGCUCAUAAAUGUCUCUCCUCAGUGAAGACAGCUUUUGAACGUUUGAUCUCAAAUCAGGUAGGACUACCCGCUGAACUUAAGCAUAUCAAUAAGCGGAGGA
rnacentral:misc_RNA from 1 species